UGGGGAAUAUUGCACAAUGGGCGGAAGCCUGAUGCAGCGACGCCGCGUGGGGGAUGAAGGCCUUCGGGUUGUAAACUCCUUUCGACAGGGACGAAGCUUUUGUGACGGUACCUGUAUAAGAAGCACCGGCUAACUACGUGCCAGCAGCCGCGGUAAUACGUAGGGUGCGAGCGUUGUCCGGAAUUACUGGGCGUAAAGAGCUCGUAGGUGGUUUGUCGCGUCGUCUGUGAAAUUCCGGGGCUUAACUCCGGGCGGGCAGGCGAUACGGGCUGACUUGAGUGCUGUAGGGGAGACUGGAAUUCCUGGUGUAGCGGUGAAAUGCGCAGAUAUCAGGAGGAACACCGAUGGCGAAGGCAGGUCUCUGGGCAGUAACUGACGCUGAGGAGCGAAAGCAUGGGUAGCGAACAGG
rnacentral:rRNA from 1 species